rnacentral:tRNA from 1 species
AGGGGUAUAGCUCAGUUGGUAGAGCGGCGGUCUCCAAAACCGUAGGUCGCGGGUUCAAGUCCUGCUGCCCCUG